AGAGAGAAAGAAAGAACCAAGCUCGGAAGGAAAAAAAGAGAGAAAAGAAAAACCAAAGCGCUCCAUCCCCUUCUACUACUUCUCGUUAUUAUUUUUCCCAUCUUCUCCUUUUCU
rnacentral:ribozyme from 13 species